AGAUUUGCGGCAAUUAUUGGUUUUCGAAGGAAACGUAUCCUGAGAAAUUAAAAGGGAAUUCGGUGAAGUGCUUAGCGCUCAUUCCGAAGCUGUUCCCGCAACUGUAAUUCGAAGAUAUCCUUGUGAUAUCAUUUUUGAUCUACCAUUGCCACUGUCCUAAUGAAUCGGGAUGGGAAGGCCGAUCAAAAGAUUUCGAAGAGCCAGGAGACCUGCCAGUAGUUAUUAUUUAUC
rnacentral:ncRNA from 1 species